rnacentral:tRNA from 1 species
CCUGGUGUCUCAGAUGGUAAUGAGACUGCCUGCAGUGCAGGAGACCUGGGUUCAAUCCCUGGGUCAGGA